GAUGAACGCUGGCGGCGUGCCUAAUACAUGCAAGUCGAGCGAACAGACGAGGAGCUUGCUCCUCUGACGUUAGCGGCGGACGGGUGAGUAACACGUGGAUAACCUACCUAAGACUGGGAUAACUUCGGGAAACCGGAGCUAAUACCGGAUAAUAUAUUGAACCGCAUGGUUCAAUAGUGAAAGACGGUUUUGCUGUCACUUAUAGAUGGAUCCGCGCCGCAUUAGCUAGUUGGUAAGGUAACGGCUUACCAAGGCAACGAUGCGUAGCCGACCUGAGAGGGUGAUCGGCCACACUGGAACUGAGACACGGUCCAGACUCCUACGGGAGGCAGCAGUAGGGAAUCUUCCGCAAUGGGCGAAAGCUUGACGGAGCAACGCCGCGUGAGUGAUGAAGGUCUUCGGAUCGUAAAACUCUGUUAUUAGGGAAGAACAAAUGUGUAAGUAACUAUGCACGUCUUGACGGUACCUAAUCAGAAAGCCACGGCUAACUACGUG
rnacentral:rRNA from 1 species